AUACGAAUGGUGCAAGCGUUGUUCGGAAUCACUGGGCAUAAAGGGCACGUAGGCGGUGGCGUAAGUCAGCUGUGAAAUCCCUCGGCUCAACCGAGGAACUGCAGCUGAAACUGCGUCGCUUGAGUAUGGGAGGGGAGAGCGGAAUUCCAGGUGGAGCGGUGAAAUGCUUAGAUAUCUGGAGGAACGCCGGAGGCGAAAGCGGCUCUCUGGCCCGUUACUGACGCUGAGGUGCGAAAGCUAGGGGAGCAAACAGGAUUAGAAACCCCGGUAGUCC
rnacentral:rRNA from 1 species